rnacentral:rRNA from 1 species
GACGUAGGGCGCGAGCGUUAUCCGGAUUCACUGGGCUUAAAGGGUGCGUAGGUGGGCAGGUAAGUCAGUGGUGAAAUCUCCGGGCUUAACUCGGAAACUGCCAUUGAUACUAUCUGUCUUGAAUACCGUGGAGGUUAGCGGAAUAUGUCAUGUAGCGGUGAAAUGCUUAGAUAUGACAUAGAACACCAAUUGCGAAGGCAGCUGGCUACACGAAUAUUGACACUGAUGCACGAAAGCGUGGGGAUCAAACAGG